CCCAAUUUCCCUUUCUUCUUCUUCUCCAAAGAUCUCCAGCAGUAGCGCUGGACGAUCCUCACCCUCCCUCCUUUUGGCGCGUGUUUGAUCCCUUUCCCUACGUAUUUCCCUCGUUCUUUAGGCGCGUGAGCAGUCCCUCCUUAACGGCUCUUUCCCUCCUUUCGACCUCGUACGUUUUUCCAGCUGUGGUCCUUCAAAAAUCGUCCCUGCAAAAUAUCGUCCUUGCUCGUUUGGAGAUGAUGACACGUCGCUCGACAAAGACGCAAGAGACGAUCCAGCCCUCAACCUCUCUCUAUUCUGUUGAAAGGUUGUGAAUCGCGGGAUUGUUCGCAGUAAUUGGAUAAGAUUUGAGGGUAUGAAUUCAAACUUGGGGUUGCUAAUAUGAUUUUGCCCUCGUUUUUUUUUCUUUUUCCUUCUUCGUUUCUUCUUCUACCGACCCCCCUAUAAAAAGAAUGCUCUCCCUUCAGUUGAAACAGAUAGAAAAAAGGGGAAAGAAACAGGGAAAGAAAGAAAAUGUAGAUAAAAAGGGAGUAAAGAGAAAGGUGUUACAGAGGAAUAUCGCUACAAGUUUCCGCCAUAUCGUUAUAUAUAAGUAUUUUGAGAUAUUUUCUUUAAACCAUAGAGAUGUUCGUCACUGUCCUAUCGCUACCUACAAGGAGUUCUAUAUCGCCUUUCGAGUUUGAGUGUUGUGGUGGAAGACCUCAUCGUUAUUUGUUGUUCCAGUUGGCUGCUCUAAAACAGAAAUUCUCCUCGAGUCCUCAUGGACUUUAAUCCAUCUUGUUGCACUUCCUCAUUGAGCCAUAAAGGCUCAAAACAUCUUCUUCGAGUCGUAGCCCCCCUCAUAACUGGUGUACAGGUAUCAAAACCAGCAGAUGGAGUGCUGAAAAUUAAAUUUGCAGAUGCUGAGAAGCUGUCUACCAGCUAUAUACAAAUUUUAUACACCGAUAUACAGGUUGAAAUAUGCACAGGAGGAAAAAUUUGAAAUUUGGAUUGAUAGCAGUGAAAAUAUGCUGCUGAAAAAGGAACUUUCAACUUUCGAAAGUUGAAAAACAGGCUGAUAUAACAUCCGUAUACACUGAUAUACAGAUACGCUAUACCAAAUAGGUGUAAAAAAUGCAAAUUGCAGGUUUAACGUACAGGGACACUGAUUUCAAGUAAAAUACAGGAAUAGUGAAUGAAUACGUGCAUAGGAUAUAGCCCGUAUACAUUGGUAUACAUCAUUUGGGCAGCGAUAUACAAAUGUUAAAAUAGUAUAAAAAUUGUACAGGUACAAAUACACCGAAAUAAUAUGGAAAAUACAAGUGGAAUCGCGAGAAUUCAUAUUCAAACAAAUUACAGGGCUCAAAAGGUCCAAAAUGGAACUGGAUAUACACCGUACACAACAGUAUACAUCAUUUGUAUACCCUAGUUCUUUUUUCAAGAAAAUGGGCCAGGGCCCUUUCAGCAAUAAUUUUUUAAUAGGCCCAAAGACCAAUAUAUUUUGCAGGUUUUAAUUUGUUAAGGGGGCCAAGCCCAUAUUUUGAAAAUUAUUAUAAGACAGGUGGGCCAAAGCCCAAAUUUAAUGAAUUUGGGUAUUUAGCCCAAAUUCAAAUGUUCUCUUCUCUCCCUUCUUUAUUUAUUGGAAAAAUUACUUAAAUACACUACUUUAAUUAUCUUAAUAACCAUUUAUCCCAACUUAUUUUAAAAUUUUCAAAAAUCCCUUAUUCCCCCAAUUUAAAAAAAUAUAAAAGAUACAUCAAGAUUUCCCACCUUUUUUUCACCCAAUUGGCAAGUUUUACUUUACCAAAAACUAAAUCCUAUUUUCAAGCUACCCACUUCCCCAUUAACAUCCCCAAUCAAAAUUUACCAUAUUAAUUUUUAUUCCUUUUCCUUUUUAUUUCCCUACAUUGUAGGUGUAUAAUUGUCUACUUUUAAUUCCCCAUUCCACACGUUUGCAGGUAAAUUUUGAAUUCCAGUUCAAAUUUUCAUCCAUAUCUAUUUGAUAUUUUGUAGGACUCUCUUUCCAUCUACCAAAUUUUCUCCUUCAGUCUAUUCAUCGUGACUAUCUUUCCAUCUAACCAGAUUUUCUCCUUCAUUCUCUUCAUCGUGUGAGUUUACAAAUAUCAUGGAAGAGUGUGGUAAUUCCAAACGUUUGUAUGAUUCUGAUGAUGAGCUGUGGGCUGAGAUUAGAUCUAAGAGAUUGCAUGACCCAUUGUUGAUAACAAUGUACUUGAGCCAAAGAAGAAGACUGAAGAAAUCAAGAAAAAAAGGCCAAGAAAAGUUACAUCAACUGUGUCAAGACCCACACUUCCUAAGGGCAUGCAUUAUGUUAUUAAAAAAAUUCCGGCGCAUCCAUUGAGGUUUGGGGCUACUUUCAAUUUUGAUUUUGUGAAUAAAAUCAAAUUAUCUAUAAAAGACGAAGGCGUUGCACUGUUUAAGAAAACAAUUUUUGGACCAUAUUUGGAAAUUCCA